rnacentral:tRNA from 1 species
GAGUAAGAAGCGAUUAAUUGCACCCAGUUUCGACCUGGUCCUAGGUAAUAUUUACCCUUACUCU